rnacentral:rRNA from 1 species
GGUUAAGCGACUAAGCGUACACGGUGGAUGCCCUGGCAGUCAGAGGCGAUGAAGGGCGUGCUAAUCUGCGAUAAGCGCCGGUAAGGUGAUAUGAACCGUUAUAACCGGCGAUACCCGAAUGGGGAAACCCAGUGUGACUCGUCACACUAUCAUUAACUGAAUCCAUAGGUUAAUGAGGCGAACCGGGGGAACUGAAACAUCUAAGUACCCCGAGGAAAAGAAAUCAACCGAGAUUCCCCCAGUAGCGGCGAGCGAACGG